UGAUGUCCUGUCCAAAGCAUUAACAUAUCUUGAUAAAUCCUUUCCUAACAGGAGCAGCCCAAGAUAAAACUGGGUAUGACUCUACCCCUCGCUCUUUUUGUUUUGAAGGUAGCAUGUCCAAGUCUACGUUCUUUCUGAUAAUGAAUGCAUCUGGCAGAGAUGGAAGCCUUAUCUUCUGUUAUUAACAUUGUUUCACAGCCUCAGAUCAGUCACUGCACAACUCCAGGGGGGCCUACACAUCAAAUCGUGAUUUUUUUCAAGGAAGAGGCCAUGAGUAUGUCAGCUGAGGUCACUUUGUAAGGAAAAUUGAGAUUGUGUUCCCAAGAUUCCAGCCACUUCCCAGGGACACUGGCUCAGUUCUUGUUCUUACCCAGUUCACUGUCUCAGCUUCCAGAGGACAGAACCUUACCUCACCAGAUCCUUAACAGCUCCUCAUUCCCUGCCUCCUCACUACCCUACUGCCUCAGCUGCUGGUAACCAUCAUUCUAUUCUCUAUGUCUACGAAUUCAACUUAUUAGAUCCACGAAGAGGUGGGAGACGCAACAGCACAUCUAUAUGCUGAGGAAGGGUGAGGACAAAUUGAUGCAAGAGUAAGAGGAACUUCUGAGAGUCCUUGUGUGGGCAGGACCAGCAGGGAUGGUGUCCUGUGUGCAAAGGCAAGAAGGGCCUGGGGGGAGAGGUCAGCUCAUCCAGACCAGCAGAGAAGACAAAGACAUGAAUAGCGUUUUCUUAGUAUCCCACACAGACUCUUUGUUAAUGAUGGUGAUAAUAUCAAUGACUACAACCAUAGAAUAGUUAAUAGGCCUUUGUAUUCAUUGACAAGAUGAGUCACACAAAUCCAGCAGUACUUGAGUUUCUUGGAUGAAGUUCUCAACAAGGACACUGGGAGGAUCUUGUAGGUACAGAUUUCUCUGUAUCUCCAGCUAGGAAGGAGUGAUGGACCCCCCAACCCAACUCUCCUUUGAAGUAAUGCUCACUUGGUCUGAAUUGGAGUGAUCAAUUGGUAGAGAUGACAGAAAGUCCUCCGUCUGUGUAUUCAGUGGAAAAUUAUACUGCCAUUCUAUUUUUUUUCAGUGUUAAUGGUAUUCUCAUAAACAAAAGCUUCCGUUCCCUGUCCCCUUGUUGGUACCACCACCAUUACUCUAAUCACCAUUACCUAUGCAACAAAAAUAGCAGUAACUACCAUUUAAUAGGUGGUCCUGUCUGAGGCCAGGAAGUCGAGGCUGCAGCACUGGAACUGGGUGUCACUCCAGCUGGGUGACAGAGUGAGACCCUGUCUCAAAAGAAAAAAAAAAAAAGGAGAGCUGGGCUCUACCAUCUCACUUCUCUUCACAACAGCCCUGUGUGGUAGUGUAUGACUGUAUCAGCCCCUGUUAACAGUUGUGGAAAAUUAGGCUUACAGAAUUAGGCUACUGCCUAUUGUCACAUCUCAGAAGCAUCAGAGCCAGAAUUGAAAUCUAAGUCCAGGUGACUCCAAAGUCCUUGCCCUUAACAAUAAUUUUCUAUCAUACCACCUCCCUUUCUGAGUGAGAAUUUUUCCUGGCAAGAGUAGAUAUAUGCAUGUUUUCCCUCCAGUGCUCAUUUAUUAUGAAGACCACAGUUUGACAAUAAUAAAGGAACUCAGAAGAAUGGAAAUAAUUCAGAGUUCCCAACAUCCUGUUGGAGCGACUGUUUUCAUUUUUCUCCCUUUCCUUUUGACCCUUAUCCGUUUAUACAUCAUUACAUAGUUGUAAAUGCAAUUUUAUUUUCUGCUUUUAUGCUUAAUGUUACACCAAACAUUUUUCUUGUUGCUAUUUAGUCUUUGAUAGAUGCACAAUAUUCCAUUUUGUUAAUGUGCCACAGUUUAAACAAUCACCCACGAUGGACGACAUUUGUUUCCAGUUUCUUAGUUUUUAAACGAUGCUGCAAGGAACCAUUUUGUUUUCCUCUCAUCUUUUGUCAGUUUUUUCUUACAACAAACUCCCAGGAGUGACAUUACCAAACAAGAAUUUGAACAUGUUUAUGGAUUUAAUACUUUAAACGGCAGUGAAAUUAGGAGAAUUUGUAUCUUUGAUCACAGUGGAUAAAUUUCGCCGCUGGCAAGAACAGCUUAACUACAUGAAUUAUUGUUUAGGUGGACAAAAUUCAAGACGAAUGGGGAGUGACUGCUAAUGGGGACGGGGUUUCUUUUCGAGGUCAUGAAAUGUUCUGGAAUGAUAGCGGUCAUGGUUGCACGACUUUGGCAAUGUGCUAAGAACACUGAAUUGUAUGUAUAUUUUAAAAGGAUGGGUUUUGUGG